rnacentral:rRNA from 1 species
CUACGGGAUGCUCCAGUAAGGAAUAUUGCGCAAUGGAGGCAACUCUGACGCAGCCAUGCCGCGUGCAGGAAGAAGGCCUUAUGGGUCGUAAACUGCUUUUAUUUAGGAAUAAACCCCCGAACGUGUUCGGGGCUGAAGGUACUAAACGAAUAAGCACCGGCUAACUCCGUGCCAGCAGCCGCGGUAAUACGGAGGGUGCAAGCGUUAUCCGGAUUUAUUGGGUUUAAAGGGUGCGCAGGCGGGCCAUUAAGUCAGUGGUGAAAUCCCGGGGCUCAACUCCGGAACUGCCAUUGAUACUGAUAGUCUUGAGUUUGGUUGAAGUGGGCGGAAUGUAGCAUGUAGCGGUGAAAUGCAUAGAUAUGCUACAGAACACCAAUCGCGAAGGCAGCUCACUAAGCCAAAACUGACGCUCAUGCACGAAAGCGUGGGGAUCAAACAGGAUUAGAUACCCCGGUAGUC